rnacentral:piRNA from 1 species
UAGGAAGCAUCUAAGGGAAGGACUGCCCGGU